UUACAGAGUUUGGACUUUAAUCUG
rnacentral:piRNA from 1 species